UUUUAGAUAUUACUUAGUAUUGGACCGACUUUUGCUAUUAUGAACCUCUUAGAGAGUUGUUUGGAUGUCCUUCUUAUGUUUGGUGCUUACACCACUGCAAGAGGCAUGGCUAUUUCCAGGCUGGUUAUACGAUUCUUUGGUGUGGCCUGACCUCUGUAUUUGUGACCUAUGGUUAUGUAAAGGUUUUGGAGGAAAUGAAUGAUCAGACAGCAAUUCCUUAUAUUUCGGAUAUAUAUACUUGUGCUGGGUGUUUUGCAGCCUUGCGGUUGGUUCUUGGCUUGUUACUAA